GGGUGAGGCCAUCCAUGGGGGACCUUCAAAGUCUGGCAUAUCAUUUGGGGCAGGGCCUAGACCCUCCCCCGUGUGUCUAGGCUGGGAGAGUAUCCCUCUAUGUGGAUUGGGAUCCCAAAGUCCAUUCCUGUACUGGGGAUAAAUACUGAUCCACUACCAGAGGCCCCAUAGAUUAACCAGACCUCCAAACUGGGUCUGGUCUCUUUCUUCAUGAGUUUUAGUGGAAUGUGCUUAUAUCGGCCAAUGUCAAAGGCUGACAUCAGAUGUCUUCUUGAUCUCUCUUCACUUACUGAAGUAGCUGCGCACUUCUCUGGGAAUCUAAACUAGUCUACUGUCUGUCAUGACUUCUCAGCCCUUGGGCUAAGCAGUUAUCUGGAUACCCUGACAGAGCUCCUGGGCAGCUUCCUUCUUGACUCUCAGAAUACCUCCUGGGAUAGGAUGACCUCCUCCCCUUCUGAGCAUGUGGCAUGUGACAGGCUCGUCAUAAAAUGCACUAAAUGAAUGGACAGAUGCCAUGUCUUUUAAAGGUAUUUAUAAACCACAUGCUGCUUGAGGAUUGGCCAAGAAAAGGUAAACAACAGAGUAGUUGAAUGUGGAUUUGAUUUUGAUUUUGAGGGUUGCGGCUGAACACAGAGAGAAGCUGAAAGAUAAAAUAUCAGAUGUAGAAAAUGCUAACUUUUAAAUGUUUUAAAAUUUUAAAAUCUUAUCCAUUUUUUUUUUCCACAGAGACAAGAAAAAAAAAAGUGUUGUUCUCAGAGAACCACGCUGUUUAUCUUGUCUCCGGGGCAACGGAGACAAUACUCAUUCAGAGAGAAGGAGAGAAAUGGAGACAGUCAUACAGAAUGGCUCCUGAGUUCCGACUAAGUCACUUAACACAUAAAACAAAUUCGGUUUUCCUAAACAGAAGAGUAGCUACCAAAGCCAAAACCAAAGGGAAUUAAGUUGUUUAUCUGAUUGAAACUGAUCAUGUUGGAGGCUGAGAAGAUGGUGCAAUUGAGGAUUUCUGUGAGCGUUCAACCCUGUUGAUGCUUGCUGCAUGGAGACUUAUCCAGUAAGAAUUGUGUGCAAGAACCAUCUCCCAGCUGGGCAGUGGUGGUGCACACCUUUAAUCCUGCACUCGGGAGGCAGAGGCAGGCAGAUCUCUGAGUUGGAGGCCAGCCUGGUCUACAGAGUGAGUUCCAGCUAGGGCUACCCAGUGAAACCCUGUCUUGAAACAAAACAAAACAAAACAUAAAGGGCACCAUCUCCCACAGCUGAUUGUGAAAGUCAGCCCCACGUGGUGUGUAGAGGAAUAUGGCCACAGGGCUCUCAUUUCAUUUCCAUCAGGAGCAAAUUUCAGGUCUGCUUUUUAUGUGGUUGUUUGCUUCCUAAUGCUAGCAUUCCACGCUUCAGUUCGUUGCCAUGGAGACCACCGUUUGAGCAGUUCAUCUGAACAGGCAUUGUUGGAUAAAGAUCAAGGCUCUCUUGAUUUAGGAUUACAGGAUCAAGCGACAAGACAAGGCCUGUUCAGCCAUCAGAAGCUUUCCAGCGACACUGCGAGGACCACCUGGGGAAGGGUGCCAUGUCAGUAUCAAUAGCUCUAGAAGAUUCUGUGGAGCAAGGAGCUCCUUCCUGUCUGUGAAUGUCUGCUCAGGCUACCAACUGUGGAGUGGCUGUUACAUCAGGUGUUGUUCUGAACACUUGGGUACAGCAAGAGUGAAACUAUGGCCAAUCCCUGUGUUUAUGGAGCUUACAUGAGGGCUGACUGCUGAACUACAAAUACCAUGCUUAGCUUCUAAAGCUGCAGGCUGGAAAAGCCACACCACGAAACGUUGGCAGAGGUCAGGCUUGUUUUGGAAGUGCCCAAUGGGGUCAGUGGUCUUUUUGCAAAAGGAGAGGCUGUCUGCCAGUCCUGAACGGAGGACGAAUGAAGGAAGUGAAGCUCACAGGGUGGCUGCUGGUGGUGACAUUUCCUCUCCACUUUCUGCUGGCAGUGGCUAUUCACAAAGGAGUCUGCCCACUGCCUGGGAUUCUGUGAUAUAUGCCAACACCUUCCCCUUUACUUAACUCGGAGCACUCAGCACCUUUGAUGUAAGGGCGAAUGCCUUUUUAUUUUUAAUCUGAACUGAACCUUUCCACAGGUGCUGGCUACCCCAGAGCUCACCAUAGCAUUUUCCUCUCAAGCACCCAGGGCUCCACAAUGAUGGCAGGCACCAAGAUCUGAAGAAGACUCCCUGUAGCAUCUCAUUUGCACUUCAUCCUCCGUGGCUUCCCUAGCUUCAGCUAGCUUACAGAACUGUUUGCUUUACCUAACCCAAGCUGGAGUGGCAACUGGGUCUCAGACUGUUGUCCUUGACGCUGAUAUGGGACUAUAAGACACUGCCUUUUUGGAAACUGUCUUUCAUGGAUUUGCAGUGAAACUUGGUCACAGAAUUCUGGCCCAAUGCCUGUCAAGGGUGUGGGAGUUGGAGUCAGCCAGGCCCAUGGAACCUUCCACAGCCCUCUUAUCUGUUAGUAGAAGGUGGGAGUAACCACACUGAGAACUGAAGGCCAUUAAGCUUGCAAAAGAGCCUCCAGAUGUUGCCAUGGAGCCAGCGCUUCUGACCUGGACCAGGCUUGGUCUAUGCAGGGGUUAGUUAACCAUUAAAAGGCUAAGGGUGCUGACUCAUGGAUUUAAUUUCUGGCUGGAGACAUUCAGUGCUUUAUAUCGCUCCCAACUAAUCCAGUGUCUAAAUGUUAACUGGAUGGAGGGCUUUGGGGGUGUGUCAAAUGAACACCAGAGAAUGCAAACCUGGGAGUAGAGACCAGUGCACCUGACAUUCAGGGUUUAGAGCAGGUUCAAGAGGAUGAGCAAUGCAUAGCUUUCAAAAAGGUGUGAGACCAUUAGUGAUGUGUGAG
ensembl:lncRNA